rnacentral:rRNA from 1 species
AGUCAAUAGAUACCCCGGUAGUCCACGCCGUAAACGAUGAGUACUAGGUGUAGGAGGUAUCGACUCCUUCUGUGCCGCAGUUAAACACAAUAAGUACUCCGCCUGGGAAGUACGGUCGCAAGAUUAAAAACUCAAAGGAAUUGACGGGGGCCCGCACAAGCAGCGGAGCAUGUGGUUUAAUUCGAAGCAACGCGAAGAACCUUACCUAGACUUGACAUCUCCUGAAUAGUGUAGAGAUACAUGUAGCCCUUCGGGGCAGGAAGACAGGUGGUGCAUGGUUGUCGUCAGCUCGUGUCGUGAGAUGUUGGGUUAAGUCCCGCAACGAGCGCAACCCUUAUUACUAGUUGCUACCAUUAACGUUGAGCACUCUAGUGAGACUGCCCGGGGUUAACCGGGUAGGAAGGCGGGGAUGACGUCAAAUCAUCAUGCCCCGUUAUGUCUA